CUAAAAAUUAAGCCUACACUCUUUUUAUAAAAACUACACCUAACUAAACCACAAUAAAACAUUUUACCAGUUUAGUAGAGGCGAUUAAAAAACUUUCUAGCGCUUUACUUCUAGUACCGCAAGGGAAUAAUGAAAUAGUUUUGAAACAGCCUUUAAGCAAAAAACAGCAGAGAUUAAUACUCGUACCUUUUGCAUCAUGGUUUAGCUAGUCUUAUUCAAGCAAAGCGAAACAUCAGUUUGACCCCCCGAAACUAAGCGAGCUACUUUAAAACAGCUUAAUAGAGCCAACCCGUCUCUGUCGCAAAAGAGUGGGAUGAUUUUUAAGUAGAGGUGAAAAGCCUACCGAGCUUAGAGAUAGCUGGUUAUUCAGGAAAAGAAUUUUAGUUCAACCUUAAGUUUAUUUAUUAACUAAAAAAAAUCUUAAACUUAAGAGCUAUUCAAAUAAGGCACAGCUUAUUUGAAGAAGGAUACAACCUAUUAAAAUGGGUAAAAAAUUUUACACGUGCUAAGUGGGCCUAAAAGCAGCCACCUUUUAGAAAGCGUUAAAGCUCCUCUUUUUUCCUCACCCUAAUACCUAAAUACACCUUUAACCCUUUAUUACUACUGAAUGGUUCUAUAUUAAUAUAGAAACCACAAUGCUAAAACUAGUAACAAGAAAUUGAUUUUCUCCAAAAUAUAAGCAUAAGCCAAAAUGGACAGACCAUUGGCUAUUAACGUUAAUAAAAUAAUAUAGUAACUCCUCUAGAAAACACUAUUAACCCACACGUUAAUCUUACACAAGUAUAUUCCCGGAAAGAUUAAAAGAAAGAGAAGGAACUCGGCAAACCAUAACCCCGCCUGUUUACCAAAAACAUCGCCUCUUGAAAAAUUAUAAGAGGUCCAGCCUGCCCAGUGAAAUUAUUUAACGGCCGCGGUACCCUGACCGUGCGAAGGUAGCAUAAUCACUUGUUCUCUAAAUAGGGACUAGUAUCAACGGCAUCACGAGGGUUAUACUGUCUCCUCUUUUUAAUCAGUGAAACUGAUCUCCCCAUGAAGAAGCGGGGAUGAUUAUACAAGACGAGAAGACCCCAUGGAGCUUUAAACCCAAUAACAGCCUAUACUAAAUUUUUCUAAAAAUGUAAAAAGCAAUGUUUAUUGGUUUUAGGUUGGGGUGACCACGGAGAAAAAUUAAACCUCCACGAUGAAAGGAUCUUAAUCCUAAUCUACGAGCUACUACUCCAAGAAUCAACAAUUUGACAUAAUAUGAUCCGAUAACGAUCAACGAACCAAGUUACCCUGGGGAUAACAGCGCAAUCCAUUUCAAGAGCCCUUAUCGACAAAUGGGUUUACGACCUCGAUGUUGGAUCAGGGUAUCCUAGUGGUGCAGCCGCUACUAAAGGUUUGUUUGUUCAACAAUUAAAAC
rnacentral:rRNA from 1 species